GCAGUUGCUGUGGGAGGCCUGCCGCCUGCUGAAAGGAAGAUGGUUGAUGCUUCUGAGCAAUGAAGGCCCCGUGGAGUCCUGGAUUCGGUGUGGCCUGGCGUCCGUGGUGCACCCCAUGCUGCUGGAUGGCUCAGGACGGGGCAGUUGCCAUGGGAGGCGCAGGCCUGCUGGAAGGAAGAUGGUCGAUUCUCCCGAGCAACAAAGGCCACGCAGAGUCCUGGUUUUGGUGUGGCCUGGUAUCCAUAGUGCACCCCGUGCUGGUGGGUGGCUCAGGACGCACACUCAUUUCCUCUGCACCUUCCUGAUGUCAUUGGCAUGGAAGGAAGGCCCUUGUCCAAGAAGGAUGGUCUUCGUCUUGUGUGAUCUUUGAGAUGCCAUGAGGCCCCUGGAUACAAAUGGUGUGGGCUCCUUUGGAGGCUUUUGGAUUUCUCCUGAAUGUGGCGUUGGUAUGCAAGGAAGGCCAGUGACCACAAGGGAUGAUUUUGAUCUUGGGAGAUUUUUGGAGAUGGCAAAGUGCUUCUAAACAUGUGUGGCAUGGUCUCCUUCAGGCCGGUGGAUACCUCAGGAUGGUGGCGUUGGCAUGGAAGGAAGGACUGUGUCUGUGAGGGAUGAUCAUCCUCUCAUGUGAUCCUUGGAGAUGCCAGGAAGCCCCUUGACACAUGUGGCAUGGGCUCCUUCAGAGGCUUUUGGAUCCUUCGUGAAUGUGGUAUGGGCAUGCAAAGAAAGACAGAGGCUGCAAGGGAUGAACUUCAUCUUGGGAGAUCCCUGGAGAUGGCAGGGAACCCAUGGACACAUGUGGCAUGGGCUCCUUCGGGUGCCGGUGGAUCCCUUCAUAUGGUGGAAGUGAUGAAUUGGCCAGGCCCACGUUGGUGAGGGACAAUCAUCAUCUCAUGUUAACCUCAGAGAUGCCAGGAAGCUCCUGGACACACAUGGUGUAGGCUUCCUUGGAGGCUGUUGGAUCCAUCCUGAAUGUAGUGUUCGUGUAAAAGGCAAACCUGUGUCAUGAGAGAUGAUCAUCAUCUCGUGUGAUCCUUGGAGAUGGCAGGAAGCCCUGGACAUAGACGGUGUGGGCUCCCCCAGAGGCUGUUGGAAUCCUCCUGGAUGUGGUGUGGGCAUGGAAGGAAGGCCAGUGGAGACAAUGGAUGAUCUUGUUCUUAGCAGAUCACUGGAUGUGGCAGGGAGUCCUAGGACAUGUGUGGUGUGGGCUUCUUCAGGUGCUGGUGGUGUUGGCAUGAAAGGAAAGGAGGUAUCUUCGAGGGAUGAUCAUCUUCUUGUGCGAUCCUUGGAGAUGCCAUGAGGCCCCUGGACACAUGUGGUGUGGGCUCCUUUGGAGGCUGUUGUAUCCCUUCUGAAUGGCUAGUGUCCGUAGGCCAGUAAUGGAUAAGUUUUGGACUCCACAGCCAUGUUUACAACCAAGUGCUGUAAGAGGUAUGGUGUCCUUAGUCAUAGUGCCUUGGAAGCCCUGUAGGAUUCAGCAUGUCUUAUGCUCUUCUGGGUCCCUGAGCUGUACCUUUGAGGAAAACCCUGAGGUAGAGGUUGAUUUGUGAUUGAGCAUGUUUCUCAGUGGGAAGAGUGUCGAAGGAGCCUGGGGUGAAAGUACAUCAGGACCAAAGGAAAAUUGCCCUUCACUCAAGAAGAGGCUUUCCUUGAACCUGUCCCCACUGAAAGAUCCUCAUGACCUUCGUCUUCUCUGAUGGCCAAGAGCAGGACUUUUGAUUCAGAGGUGACAAAUGAGUGGUGUUGAGAGAGUUUGUUAUGCUUGGUGCUCUGUAGCUGGAUGGAGCCCUCAAAAUUCUUGUGUGCGUGAUAGCUUCAUGCCUGGUUACACCCAUGCACAUGUCCCAAUAAGAGGGGCUGCCCGUGGGAAAUACAUACACGAUACACCACAGUGGGAUGAAUGGUGUGGCCCUUGCAAUGUGUGUACCUGCCUGCUGUUCUCAAAUACACCUGUUUUUCCUCUGAACUUUCCAGGUGGCCUGGGCAUAGAAGGAAGGUCAGUGGCCAUGAGGGACAAUCUUGGUCUUGGGAGAUCCCUGGAAAUGAUAGGGAGUCCCUUGAUAUGUGUGGCAUGGGCUCCUUCAGGUGCUAGUGGAUUCCUUAGGAUGGUAGCAUUGGCAUGGAAGGCAGGCCCAUGUUGGUGAGGGACAAUUGUUACCUCGUGUGAGCCAUAGAGAUACCAGGAAGCCCCUGGACACAAAUGGCAAAGGCUCCUUUGGAAGUUGUUGGAUCCCUUCUGCAUGUGGUGUUGGCAUAAAAGGCAGACUCGUAUCAUGAGGAAUGAUUGUCAUCUUGUAUGAUUCUUGGAGAUGGCAGGAAGCCCCUGGAAACACAUGAUGUGGACUCUGUCAUAGGCUGUUGAAACCCUCCCGAAGGUGAGGCCAGAGACAGGCAGACAGCAGGGAGCUGGAUGACAUGGCCUUUGGAACCUGUGCGCAUGCCUGCCUUUCUGAUGCACGUCCAUGUUUUCUCUGCACCUCCCUGGUGGUGUUGGUAUAAAAAGCAGGCUCACAUCAGCAAGGGAUGAUUGUCAUCUCAUGCGAUCCUGGGAGAUGGCAGAAGUCCCGGGACACAUGGAGUGUGGGCUCUUUCGGAGGCUGUUGGAUCCCUCCUGAAUGUAUUGUGGCCAUGGAAGUAAGGCCAGUGGCUACGAGGGACAGUCUUCAUCUUGGGAGAUCCCUAGAGAGGGCAGGGAGCCCCUUGACAUGUGGAAUGUGGUCUCCGUUGGGUGCUGGUGGAUCCCACAGGUGGUGUGGCAUGGAAGAAGGCCAGAGGCUGCGAUGGAUCAUCUUUGUCUUGGGAGAUUCCUGGAGAUGGUGGGGAGCCCCUGGGCACGUGCAGCACAUGUGGUGUGGGCUUCUUCAGGUGCUGGUGGAUCCCUCAGGAUGCUUUUCAAGGUUUUUCUGUGAGUUCUGUUAAAGAGUCUGAAAACGGAGCGUAGAAGACAAGCUUCGAUUUCCAGGAUGGUUGUGUUUUCCAGGGAGGCGAAGGUAAACCAUUGGCGCAGCCCUGCCUCCCACAGUUCAUCGUGGAACCAGCACAGAUUUUCAUAUGAAAGUUAUAUUUUUUUUUAACCUCAAAAAGUGACAGAAUGGAGUGUAUCAUGAAAAAGUCUGACAUCAAAACCUCAAAAUGUGAUAUUGAUUGGGUGAGAUAGAAUUCCAUGGAAUUUCAUUGCCAAACCAGUGAAGUGCUAAUUUUGACAUUUGUACCAGCUAACGUAGCUGUGAAGAAACACACCAAUACGCUUCUAAGGACAACAUAGACCAAGAUCUAGGUUUCAUAUGGAUGAAUUUAUUCUUCCCUUCGAGGCAAGACAAGAAGGAAAGAAAGUAUUGGGAAUAAUGCUGCCCUCCCAUCCUCAAGGGCCAGUGGGAACUCUAAUAUUGAUUGGGUGAGAUGCAAUUCCAUGGAGUUUUACUGCUGAACCAGUGAGGAGCUAAUUUUGUCAUUUGUACCAGUUAACUAAUUUGGGAGGAAACAGAACAACACACUCCUGAGAUUGGUUGUCACGGAAUUCCAUGGAAUUUAACUGCUGAACCAAUGAUGCGCUGAUUUUGUCAUUUGUACCAUCUAACUCAUCUGGGAGGCAACAAAACAAUAUUCUCCUGAGGUUAAUGUGGACCAAGAACUAGAUUUCAUGUAAAAGAGUUUAUUCCUUCUACUUAAGGUGUGACAUGAAGGAAAGUAAUGGAAAUAAUUCUGCCCUCCCAUUCUCAAGGGCCAGGGGGAAUUCUAAUAUUGAACGGAAGUGAUUUUGGAAUUGCAUGGAAUUCUCACUGCCAUCCCAAAGAAAUGCUCAUCUUGUCACUCUUACCUGUUCCAUUCCCCGGGACAGAACAAAAGGAUUCACUCCAAAGAUUGGCAUGAACCAAGAACUGGGUUUCAUAUAAAAUAUUUUAUUCUGUCCUCUUGAGAUGUGACAUGAAGAAAAGUAUUGAGAAUACUUCUAUCUCCUCAUCUUCAAGAAUCCAUAGGAAUUCUCCCAUGGUGGACUUUACGGUUCACCUGAACAGGUCUUGGAAAAAGGACUUUAAACAUUCUCCUGUUCUGUGGAAUAAGUAUACUUUUUUUCUGGACAUACACCUUGUCAGUGAGUAUGUAUCAUCAUUCCUCAUAACUUCUUAUCAGGAAACAUUUGAUGUGGAAGAUUUCUUUCUCAACUUCUCUAAUUGCCCCUGUGGUUUGCGGUUCCAUGUGAUACUAGAGUUGCAUAGAUUUUUAACCUUUACACCAAUGAAGAUCUGAGGCAAACAUUGCCCCUUUUUUAGAAGUUUGCAUUUGUCACUGAUAACUGUAAUAAUUGAUCUUGUUGAAAAGCCUGGGAAAUGAAGAUCUGAUAUGUCACUUUUACCAGCUUCCUCAACUGAAAAAGAAUACAACGAAACACGCCGAGAAUUUUUGUGCUUUCUCAGUCUUGCUGAUGAUCUUUCUAUGGGCAUGAAGCGUGGAGAGUGCCAGAGAGGCUGAUCCUCAGCAGUGUGGCAGAGGAAAUUUGGGUGCAACCAAGGGGUAUGCGGUGCCCAAAUGCCACUGGGUCCUCAGCAGUACCACCUGGUCAACAAAUACAAGGCACCUGGCCUCACAUGAAACUUUAUUCCUUUCCCUUGAGAUGUGACAUGAAAGAAAAUAUCAGAAAUGAUUUUUCCAUCCCAUCCUCAGGGACCAGUGGGAAUGAAUUUUACCAUCCCACCCUCAAGGGCCAGAUUGGAAGUGAUAUUGGUGGAAGACAACAUUUUGCCGCUUGGAAUUCUCACCUCCACACCAAAGAAGUACUGUUUUUGUCAUUUGCACGAGCUUCUUUCUCCAGGAAAGAUCAAAAUGAUGCACUGCAAGGGUCAUGUAGACCAAAAUGUGGAUGUCAUAUGAAAGAGUUUAAACAUUCUCCUUGAAAUAUGACAGAAAGUAUCAGAAAUAAUUAUACCAUUCCAUGCUCACAGGCCAGUGGGAAUUCUCACAUGUGGUUGGUCCAGAUAGCUGCCUUAUCCAACUGCCUCCUUUGGACCACUUCAUCAUGGGACAGCUUGAUGCAAUCUACUUGACAAGCCCCUGGAACCCCACACCCCUCAUGGAGCCAGUGUCCACCUCCUAGUCACAGUGUGACCCCAGGGAACUCAUGCCUGCUUGCUUUAAACCCACCACUUAAAAGUCUCCACAGAAAACCUGUUUGAAUAGUACCCUUGACCCAAUAAGGGCAUUGGCCCAUGGGUGUCUCUCUCUCUCUCUCUCUCCCCCUCUCUCUCUCUCGCUCCCUGACCUCUGCGUGUGGACUCCAGGCAUGCCAUAUACCCCUCAGGACCUGAAGCAAGAGAAUGAAUUAAAGAAAACUCCAGAGAAUGAGCUGACAACUUACUCCCUAGUCAGUGGCUCUCCAUGCCUACCUGUGGUCUCUUGGACACCCUUGCAGAAUAUGACUUCCUGGGAACUCUUCUGGAAGUGAAUGUUGUCAGCAGAUUCCCAAAACAACACCCCUUAGACAAAAAGCCUCCUCACCUAUGCAUUGCCUAGGCCACCCACUAAAGGUGAUGGCCACAAAGAGGUGGAUUUGUUGAGUUGGUGCCAUUCCUUCUACUGCCAGCUUCACCAAAACAAUGACACAGUCUUCCUUCUGCAUGGAGACUCUUCUCUUUCCUGUGUUGCAGUGGAUGCCUCCUGCAGAUAAGAAAUGCUUAACUGAGAAAUGCUCAUGUUGGGAUAUCAUCGAUGAGACUUUAAUUUGGGCAUGGUGACUGUUUCCCUUGCUGCCACUUGACUCAAUCCCAGGAGGCUCAGUAGAGGAUAUAAUAUUACACAAGAUGCUCAAAAUGGUGGAAUUGCUCAGUGCUCCCAUAAAUAUACAUUUAUAAUUUUCAUUUGCCACAUGGUAAACUGAAAAAUACAGAAUAUAUUAAAAAGAAACUGCAUGAUUUUUUUUCAAAAAUUCAAAGCAUAUUUAAAUAAUAUAUAAAUUAAAUGCCCUCCUCUCUUCCAAUUCUGUCCCUAUAGUUUUCCUCUAUUAAGUGAACUACAUGCAUUCUUUUAGUGGAUAGAUACACACAAACCAUUGUGGGGAAGGAUCCACGUGUGUGGCCAUAUUGUAACACAUUUUUCUGCAAAUUACCUCUUUCAUUUAACAGCCCUUAUUCAAUGGCCUUUUUCUUUUUCAGUAAUACAUACACAUCUGUGUCAUUUGUUGAAUGACGACAUGAAUGUUUUGUAGAUGAAAUAUAAUUAAAUGUUUUAAGCAUUUCUCAGUCAUAGAUAUUUAUGUUAGCACCAAAUUUCUGUGCAAUGAACCUCCCUAUAUAUCAAUAAUUUUGCAUUUGUCUAUAAUAUCAUAAUAAAUUAUCAGUUGAAUUACUAGGAUUAAGUAUGUGCACACUUUAUAUUUUGAAAAUUAUUGCAAGAUUGCCUUCAAAAAUGUGGUUAACAACUUUAUCCUCAAAUGGCAAUGAAUGAGAUUGCCAGCUUUCCUACAACCUCACAGACAAUGGAUUUUAUAAAUAUUUAACAUUUUUGCCAAUGUGAUCACCCAGACUAUUGUCUUAAAUUGUAUUUCUUUUGUUUUUGAGUUUCGUCAUUUUUUCAUGUUUAUUAGCCAUCUGUAUUUUUUAAUUUCUUCUUUAUGUCCAAUUUUGUGGGUGGGAGGAGGAUUUAGUCUCUUCCUGAUUUCGAAGAGCUCAUUUACUAUUUCGGAAAAUAAGAUUUGGAUUGUCAACCAUUAUAGCUAUUUUUUACACACUUUUCAACUUUGUUUUUGUUAUAAGAAUGUGUAUGAUUGUUAUAUGUCCAAGUAUAACCAUGUUCGCUUUUAUGGCUUCUGAGUUUCAUGUCAUUUUUGGAAAGAUAUAUAUACUGAGUCCAUAAAACCCUUCACCUGUGUUAAA